rnacentral:rRNA from 1 species
UAGGGAAUCUUCCACAAUGGACGAAAGUCUGAUGGAGCAACGCCGCGUGAGUGAAGAAGGGUUUCGGCUCGUAAAACUCUGUUGUUAAAGAAGAACAUAUCUGAGAGUAACUGUUCAGGUAUUGACGGUAUUUAACCAGGAAGCCACGGCUAACUACGUGCCGG